rnacentral:rRNA from 1 species
GGCUCAGAACGAACGCUGGCGGCGUGGCUAAGACAUGCAAGUCGUACGGAUUAGGUUAUUGAGCAAUCAAUGCCUGGUCAGUGGCGAAAGGGUGCGUAAUAGAUAGGUAAUGUACCUCAGUCUCUGGAAUAGCGCCGUUACGGGCAACCGUAACUACCGAAAGGGGCGAUAAUACCAGAUAAUAUUAUUGGUUGACGGACUAAUAAUCAAAGAUACGUUGGACUGAGAGCAGCCUAUCUCCUAUCAGCUAGUUGGUGAGGUAAUGGCCCACCAAGGCUGUGACGGGUAGCGGGGCUGAGAGGUCGGCCCGCCUCAUCGGGACUGAGACACUGCCCGGACCUCCACGGAGGGCUGCAGUAACGAAUAUUGGGCAAUGGGCGAAAGCCUGACCCAGCGACGCCGCGUGUGGGAGGAAGUCCUUCGGGAUGUAAACCACUUUUAGGUUUAAGAAAGGUAGCCGCAAGGCUAUUUGAUCUAUGCCAGAAAAAGUCACGGCUAACUCUGUGCCAGCAGCCGCGGUAAGACAGAGGUGGCGAGCGUUGUUCGGUGUCACUGGGCUUAAAGCGUGUGUAGGCGGCCUGAAUAGUCCUUUGUGAAAUACCUCGGCUUAACCGAGGAACUGCUUGGGAUACUUUCAGGCUUGAGGCAGGUAUGGGUGCGGGGAACGGUUGGUGGAGCGGUGGAAUGCGUAGAUAUCAACCGGAACGCCGGCGGUGAAGACGCUGCACUGGGCCUGUUCUGACGCUGAGACACGAAAGCGUGGGUAUAAAACGGGAUUAGAUACCCCGGUAUUCCACGCCCUAAACGAUGUCUACUAGGCUGGGGAGGUUCUGACGCCGCCCUGGCCGAAGCAAAAGUGUUAAGUAGACCGCCUGGGGAGUACGGUCGCAAGGCUAAAA